rnacentral:rRNA from 1 species
ACUGCUCAGUAACACGUGGAUAACCUGCCCUUGGGUCCGGCAUAACCCCGGGAAACUGGGGAUAAUUCCGGAUAACGCAUAUAUGCUGGAAUGCUUUAUGCGUAAAAUGGAUUCGUCUGCCCAAGGAUGGGUCUGCGGCCUAUCAGGUAGUAGUGGGUGUAAUGUACCUACUAGCCAACAACGGGUACGGGUUGUGAGAGCAAGAGCCCGGAGAUGGAUUCUGAGACAUGAAUCCAGGCCCUACGGGGCGCAGCAGGCGCGAAAACUUUACAAUGCGGGAAACCGUGAUAAGGGGACACCGAGUGCUAGCAUCAUAUGCUGGCUGUCCAGGUGUGUAAACUACACCUGUUAGCAAGGGCCGGGCAAGACCGGUGCCAGCCGCCGCGGUAACACCGGCGGCCCGAGUGGUGAUCGUGAUUAUUGGGUCUAAAGGGUCCGUAGCCGGUUUGGUCAGUCCUCCGGGAAAUCUGAUAGCUUAACUAUUAGGCUUUCGGGGGAUACUGCCAGGCUUGGAACCGGGAGAGGUAAGAGGUACUACAGGGGUAGGAGUGAAAUCUUGUAAUCCCUGUGGGACCACCUGUGGCGAAGGCGUCUUACCAGAACGGGUUCGACGGUGAGGGACGAAAGCUGGGGGCACGAACCGGAUUAGAUACCCGGGUAGUCCCAGCCGUAAACGAUGCUCGCUAGGUGUCAGGCAUGGCGCGACCGUGUCUGGUGCCGCAGGGAAGCCGUGAAGCGAGCCACCUGGGAAGUACGGCCGCAAGGCUGAAACUUAAAGGAAUUGGCGGGGGAGCAC